GGAUAACCUACCCUUAGGACCGGGAUAACCUUGGGAAACUGAGGCUAAUACCGGAUAGGCAAUUUUUCCUGUAAUGGUUUUUUGUUUAAAUGUUUUUUCGCCUAAGGAUGGGUCUGCGGCCGAUUAGGUAGUUGGUUAGGUAAUGGCUUACCAAGCCGUUGAUCGGUACGGGUUGUGAGAGCAAGAGCCCGGAGAUGGAACCUGAGACAAGGUUCCAGGCCCUACGGGGUGCAGCAGGCGCGAAACCUCCGCAAUGUGAGAAAUCGCGACGGGGGGAUCCCAAGUGCCAUUCUUAACGGGAUGGCUUUUCAUUAGUGUAAAAAGCUUUUGGAAUAAGAGCUGGGCAAGACCGGUGCCAGCCGCCGCGGUAACACCGGCAGCUCUAGUGGUAGCUGUUUUUAUUGGGCCUAAAGCGUUCGUAGCCGGUUUGAUAAGUCACUGGUGAAAUCCUGUAGCUUAACUGUGGGAAUUGCUGGUGAUACUGUUGAACUUGAGGUCGGGAGAGGUUAGCGGUACUCCCAGGGUAGAGGUGAAAUUCUGUAAUCCUGGGAGGACCACCUGUGGCGAAGGCGGCUAACUGGAACGAACCUGACGGUGAGGGACGAAAGCUAGGGGCGCGAACCGGAUUAGAUACCCGGGUAGUCCUAGCCGUAAACGAUGCGGACUUGGUGUUGGGAUGGCUUUGAGCCGCUCCGGUGCCGAAAGGAAGCUGUUAAGUCCGCCGCCUGGGAAGUACGGUCGCAAGA
rnacentral:rRNA from 1 species